AGGUAAUUAAGGUAAGGAAAAGGGUUAGGGUUAUGUACAAUUAAAAACAAUAAGACACUUUUACCGUUCACUUGACAAAAGCUGGAUCCCUUCUAGCCGUGACCAGGGGGCGUGGCCUUGCUUAACGAGUCAAUCCGGAAGUAGUAUGGAGCGUGUAAAAUUCGGUGGUGUCAAAUGAAAAAUACCGUCAAGAGCCAGUGAAACACACAUACUGGCUUGGACGGAUUGGUAGGAGAACAGUGGUGAAAAGGACGAUGCAUAUCGCAAGACUCGGUGAAUUCCUAUGUUGAUAAAAUAAAUCAAUUGAACACAUCUAGCUAAAUGUCGAAUCCAAGAAAGAGGGGAGGAAAUGUGGACUGGACAUGCAGUGAGGCACUGACACCGGUGGGCAAAACGGAGAGGAAUUAAAGUGAGAGGAGUGAAGCCGAUCAACUGAAACCAUUCUUCGACAUCCAAACUGGCUUUCCAGAUAGCAAGCAACACGUCCUACCGGGGCAAAUUACAAAAGGAUGAUGGCUGAGGGAUAACGGCAAGGACUGUCAGCCCCUCCACCCCAACGUGACCCUGGUUAUCUUAUUCAAACACCCCUUUUCCCCUUGUUUUUCUCAAUUUCCUCUUGCCCCAACUCACUCUCCUGUCCCAGUGUUUCAUGGAGGAGAACCAAACCGAUACAACAACACACUGGGUUAAUACUCACGUCUCUGAAAUAGAGGUUCUGGAUCAUUCUCCUGUCAUGUUAUCGAUCAGACUCAAUGAUUGGAUGAGCAGUAAGGAUCACGUGAUCAGACCACUGUUCUCUCCACCUCUAUUGGACGUCUUCUCUUUCUCAUCUUUGUGAUCGAUUUGGACCCUAUUGGCUGUUGUCAUUUCAACUCUGUCCCCCCCCUCCGCUGUUUUCUUUUCCUCACUGCAGUCUAUCCUCUGAUGUCAUUGGGCCAUGGUUCGCAAGAGAGGUUCCCUUAUCUUGUGUGGAGCUUUCCUAUUCGUCGCCUGCAAUGGCUUGCUUCUACUUUUCCUUUGGGGACGGCCUCCCAUUGGUAGACUUGGGGAGGGGGGAGGGGCUGAGCCGGGGGGAAGGGAAGAGUGGGGAGUGGCCAAAAGAAAAGGGGGGUGGGACUAAUCUGGCUGGUGAGGUGAUCCGAUUGGCCGAGGAGGUAGAAUCGGAACUCGAGACCCAGAAGGAACUUCUGAAGCAGAUUCAGAGUCACAGGUCACUAUGGGAACAGAGGAGAGGGAAGGGAAGAAGACGGAUGGAUGGAGGGAAGGUAGAAAAUAAAGAGGAACACAAACCGCCGCCACAGUUGCCUCCAGUACCUCCGAAGGACGAUUCAGAGAACAAGGACCCAAGUCAAGAAAAAACUAAACAGGAAUUUAUUGUUGCAGCAGUCCCAGACCUUAAAGUAGACACACAACCGGACAAUGACAUAAAAGAACUGAACUACACCAAAUUGGAAGUAACUGUCACCAGCCCACAAGUUGUCAUUCCCAUAUUGGUUAUUGCCUGUGACAGGGUGACCGUGAAAAGGAGUCUUGACAAAUUGAUCCAAUACCGCCCCUCUGCAGAACUCUAUCCAAUCAUAGUUAGCCAGGACUGCGGCCAUGCUGAGACGGCCCGUGUGAUUGGCUCGUAUGGCAGUCAGGUGACUCACAUUAGCCAACCAGACCACUCGGACAUCCGGGUACGGCCGGAGCACAGGAAGUUCCAGGGUUACUAUAAGAUUGCCAGACACUACCGCUGGGCCCUCAACCAGGUGUUCGACACACUCUCUCACUCCACCGUGGUGAUCGUGGAAGAUGACUUGGAGGUGGCCCCAGACUUCUUUGAGUACUUCCGUGCCCUGCACCCCAUCUUGACCUCUGACCCCACCCUGUGGUGUGUGUCUGCCUGGAACGACAACGGCAGAGAUGGCCUGGUGGACCCUGGGAAGGCUGACCUCCUCUACAGGACAGACUUCUUCCCGGGGCUGGGCUGGAUGCUGCUGAAGGACGUCUGGGCAGAACUAGAACCCAAGUGGCCCACGGCCUUCUGGGACGACUGGAUGCGUCACCCCGAGCAACGUAAAGAGCGCUCCUGCAUCCGCCCGGAGAUCUCCAGAACUAUGACCUUCGGACGCAAGGGUGUCAGCUUGGGUCAGUUCUUUGACCAGUAUCUGCGUUAUAUUAAACUCAACACUGACUUUGUGCCUUUCACCAAACAUGAUCUGUCUUACUUGAUGAAGGAGAACUUUGACGUGAACUUUGUGAAGGAGGUUUACAGCGCCCCCCUAGUUAAAAUAGAAGAGCUACAACAAGGGGGAGGUUUGAAGGAAAUGGGUCCAUACCGGGUACAAUAUUCCAGCCGGGAGAGUUUUAAAGUCAUGGCUCGUAACUUAGGGGUUAUGGAUGACUUGAAAUCGGGGGUUCCCCGUGCAGGGUACAGAGGCGUGGUCAGCUUCCUGUCCCGUGGACGACGGGUCUUCUUGACCCCACCUGAAGGAUGGACAAAGUACGACGUCAGCUGGAGCUGAGAGGUUCGGACAGAACCCGUCAGCUGGAGCUGAGAGGUUCGGACAGAACGUAGUGUGAAUGGUAUCGAAGACCGACUUGAGAAACGCCCUCUCAAACCAAAGAAAACAAGGUCACAUGAAGAAACGGGAGCUAAACCAAACAGACAGGCUUGGUGGGUGAAGGGAUUUGACAUGUGGUAGAAGUAGUUUGGGUAAUGGACAGGAGGAGUAAGGCACUCCUUGUUUUAUGAGUGAAACUGAAUGCAGUGUAACACAGGGCACAGCCCAGGGAGUGAAACCACAGUCUUUCGCAGAAAGUAAGAAAUCAUUUAGUGCUUGGUUGUUCUCCUGCUAGAGCUUAUCUAGGAAAGGUUUUACUGUUUGCUUCAACCCAAUGUCUUAAACUGACUCUAAAGUUCUGGACAAGCACAAGUUUGAUUACAUUGAUUGAUUGGGAGGGCUCAGAUGAGCUUUUUGUCUUGUUCCCUGUGUCACCAGGUCUUGUAAAGGAGAGGCCAAACCCCUCUCUGGUCACAUCCCAAAUCGCACCCUUUUCCCUAUUUAGUGCACUACUGUUGACCAGGGCCCAUAGGGAUUAGGGUGCAAUUUGGUACAGCCUAUGUCUACAUUCUACUUUAAAAGAACUUGCAGUAUUCUACUCACUCAAAGUGAAUGAGGUCAAAAUAUUAGCUAGACUGGUAUUAAUUGAAUAUUAUAAAUAUGAUUGUCAAAUUUGGUUUAUUCAUUUAAAUGUUUUUUUGGGGGCGGGAAAGGCUAUUUUUGGGAAAUGUUAUUUAGCGAUCUUGUAAAUGGUUUAUAAAGAGAUUCUUCAGAUGGUCAGAGGUUCAUACAUUGCCACAUGCAGCGCACCAAUUUAACACAUCGUAUGUGACAUUCUGUUGAUGUUGGGUUUAUCCCAAACGGUACCUCGUUCCCUAGAAAGGGAAGAGGGACGCAGAUGCUGACUAUAUACUCGAGUCCUUUCCAAACGGUGGUAUUCUACAGUAAGGUUUGUUGAAAAACCAAUGAUUAUGAUUGUUUUACUUUUUUCUUUCUUUUUUCUCUUCAUUUACAUGAUGGGUGAUACAUUUAUGUACUGUAUUUAGUUCUGGGGUGAUCGAUUCAUAUGUCCUUAUGGUGGAACAAAACAAAAACACUGCCUGAUGUGUUAACUUUAAUACGUUGCAAAUAAAACUGACUAUUUUGA